UGAAGUCUGCAACUCGACUUCAUGAAGUUGGAAUCGCUAGUAAUCGCGAAUCAGCAUGUCGCGGUGAAUACGUUCUCGGGGUUUGUACACACCGCCCGUCAAACCACGAAAGUGGACAAUACCCGAAAGCGAUAGCCUAACUGCGCAAGCAGAGGGAAUCGUCUAAGGUAGGGUCGAUGAUUGGGGUUAAGUCGUAACAAGGUAUCCCUACCGGAAGGUGGGGAUGGAUCACCUCCUUUCUAAGGAAAUUUUUAAAAUCAUCAUCUUCAGUUUUGAAAGACUUAAAUUAAUUUAAAAAAAUAAGUUUUUCUUUUUCAUUAAUUAUUCUUAUAGUAUUUAAUUUUUUAAGGGCCUAUAGCUCAGUUGGUUAGAGCACACGCCUGAUAAGCGUGAGGUCGGUGGUUCAAGUCCAUUUAGGCCCACCAGUCUAAAUGAACUGAAAAUCAAAAAAAAGUUCUUUGAAAAGUAGAUAAACAACGUAAAUUCUCAAAAUAAUGAAGAAAAUAAGGGCGUACAGUGGAUGCCUUGGCACUAAGAGCCGAUGAAGGACGAUGAAGGACGUA
rnacentral:misc_RNA from 1 species